rnacentral:rRNA from 1 species
UAGGGAAUCUUCGGCAAUGGACGAAAGUCUGACCGAGCAACGCCGCGUGAGUGAAGAAGGUUUUCGGAUCGUAAAAACUUCGUGUUGGUAGAGAAGACGUUGGUGAGAGUGGAAAGCUCAUCAAGUGACGGUAACUACCCAGAAAGGGACGGCUAACUACGUGCCAGCAGCCGCGGUAAUACGUAGGUCCCGAGCGUUGUCCGGAUUUAUUGGGCGUAAAGCGAGCGCAGGUGGUUUAUUAAGUCUGGUGUAAAAAGGCAGUGGCUCAACCAUUGUAUGCAUUGGAAACUGGUAGACUUGAGUGCAGGAGAGGAGAGUGGAAUUCCAUGUGUAGCGGUGAAAUGCGUAGAUAUAUUGGAGGAACACCGGUGGCGAAAGCGGCUCUCUGGCCUGUAACUGACACUGAGGCUCGAAAGCGUGGGGAGCAAACA